UGCUAGCAGGGAACGCUCGGCCAUCCUGACAUCUACGAACUCACUUCCUUGGUUCUGAGGUUGUAUUCGAUACUCUGUUCAUGGAGUGAAAAUGUGCAAGAAAAUAAGUUUUGUCAGGAGUGAGCUUCGAACCCACGUCUGGAGAACCAGACUGCGACCUGAACGCAGCGCCUUAGACCGCUCGGCCAUCCUGACAACUACGGAAUCACCUCCUUGGUUCUGAGGUUACAUUCGGUACUCUGUUCAUUGAGUGAAGAUGUGCAAGAAAAUAACAUUUGUCAGGAGUGGGAUUCGAACCCACGCCUGGAGAACCAGACUGCGACCUGAACGCAGCGCCUUAGACCGCUCGGCCAUCCUGACAUCUACGGAAUCAUCUCUUUGGUUCUGAGGUUACAUUCGCUACUCUUUUCAUGGGGUGAAAAUGUGGAAGAAAAUACAUUUUGUCAGGAGCGGGAUUGGAACCCACGCCUGGGGAACCAGAUUGCCACCUGAACGGAACGCUUAGACCGCUCGGCCAUCAUGACAUCUACGGAAUCGCUUCCCUGGUUCUGAGGUUGCACUUGCUACUCUGUUCAUGAAGGGAAAAUGUGCGAAAAAAUUACUCUUGUCAGGAGUGGGAUUCGAACCCACGUCUGGAGAACCAGACUGCGACCUGAACGCAGCGCCUUAGACCGCUCGGCCAUCCUGACAUCUACGAAAUCACUUCCUUGGUUCUGAGGUUGUAUUCGAUACUCUGUUCAUGGAGUGAAAAUGUGCAAGAAAAUAAAUUUUGUCAGGAGCGGGAUUGGAACCCAAGCCUGGAGAACCAGAUUGCCACCUGAACGGAACGCCUUAGACCGCUCGGCCAUCCUGACAUCUACGGAAUCUCUUCCUUGGUUCUGAGAUUGCACUUGCUACUCUGUUCAUGAAGGGAAAAUGUGCAAAAAAAUAACUUUUGUCAGGAGUGGGAUUCGAACCCACGUCUGGAGAACCAGACUGCGACCUGAACGCAGCGUCUUAGACCGCUCGGCCAUCCUGACAUCUACGGAAUCAUCUCUUUGGUUCUGAGGUUACAUUCGCUACUCUUUUCAUGGGGUGAAAAUGUGGAAGAAAAUACAUUUUGUCAGGAGCGGGAUUGGAACCCACGCCUGGGGAACCAGAUUGCCACCUGAACGGAACGUUUAGACCGCUCGGCCAUCAUGACAUCUACGGAAUCGCUUUCCUGGUUCUGAGGUUGCACUUGCUACUCUGUUCAUGAAGGGAAAAUG